GGCCCUGUGGCGCAAUGGUUAGCGUGUUGGACUUCGACCGGCUUGUGGACAUCCAGAGGUUGCAGGUUCGAAUCCUGCCAGGGUCG